rnacentral:rRNA from 1 species
UACGUAGGGGGCGAGCGUUGUCCGGAGUUACUGGGCGUAAAGCGCACGCAGGCGGUCUGUUAAGUUUGGAGUGACAGUUGGUGGCUCAACCACCAAAGUGCUUUGAAAACUGGCAGACUUGAGGGCUUCAGAGGGACACGGAAUUCCGGGUGGAGUGGUGAAAUGCGUAGAGAUCCGGAGGAACACCGAAGGCGAAGGCAGUGUCCUGGGGAGUACCUGACGCUGAGGAGCGAAAGUGUGGGGAGCGAACAGG